rnacentral:lncRNA from 1 species
AUGUGUGCGGUAUCCCAGUGGUCACCUGCUCUGGAAGGCGAUAGAUUCCGAAAGAUGUUUCCGGCUGAAACGUGGCUCCCGCUGUUCACAGCGCCGCGCAAAGUGUCUUUGCAGUGUCAAAGUCCUUUUAUCAAGAGAGUUCUUCCAGGAUCAAGCCAAACAUUUGCAUUUGCUUUCAAUAAGAGCUUAACGUGCAAACUGAAGGUCAACUCCAGUUUCGAUGUAUCAAUAAUUGGUGACUACAUCUGUCACAAUAUGGUCUCACCAGAGCUGCAAUUAUUCCAGAAAGAUGUUCAAAUUGUUACCUUGGCCAUCAUCAUUGGCCAAUCCAUCAGGGAAUAGUUCACAGGAAAACUUGAGAAUAGAGUCUAAUAUUGAAAUGACAGCAAUAUUGUUGAUACAUGCCAGGACUCAGGAGGAUUUGCAGUUUAUUCAGCAAAUGCACCUCCUCCUCCUUGGGAAGGGCUAUGAAUGACAUCCUGGCCAAAAAUUCUGCAGGACCAGUCCAGAGAUAGGACUUCCUGACUGUGAUAGACUCCUUUUCAGAACCACUUGAUAUGCUCAGAUCUGUGCUGUCACAUGCUCAGAUCUUCAACAGGCGAUUCCUAGCCUGGGCAUUGCAAGUCACUUAUCUUUGGUAAUAGAUCCAGCUUUGCCAGAGUUGAGUAUAGAGGAUUUACGGUCAGGAACCUCAUCCCAUUGUCACCACCCUCCCCCAGGCCCCCAGAUAAGUGGACAGAUGAUAAAGCUGGUAAUGUGUGCUAAGGAUGCUGUUAAGUAGAUUACAGGAAAGAUGAGCCAUAAGACAUGCCAGGUUCCUCACUGCCCAAAAUGUCACACACUGUUCGACUUUUACAGCCAAUCCUGCUGAAUGACCAGGGGGAAUGUCCUUCAAGAAUAGUCUCAGUUGGGCAGCCCGGGUGGCUCAGUGGUUUAGCGCCGCAUUCGGCCCAGGGUGUGACCCUGGAGACCCGGGAUCGGGCUCCCUGUGUGGAGCCUGCUUCUCCCUCUGCCUGUG